rnacentral:tRNA from 1 species
GGGGCUGUAGCUCAGUUGGAAGAGCGCUACAAUCGCACUGUAGAGGUCGUCGGUUCGAUCCCGAUCAGCUCCACCA